UCCCUAUAUAGUGGUACUACUAUAGACCAGAGCCUUAUUCCCUAUAUAGUGGUACUACUAUAGACCAGAGCCCUAUUCCCUAUAUAGUGGUACUACUUUAGACCAGAGCCCUAUUCCCUAUAUAGUGGUACUACUUUAGACCAGAGCCCUACUCCCUAUAUAAUGGCACUACUAUAGACCCCAUUCCCUAUAUAAUGGUACUACUAUAGACCCUAUUCCCUAUAUAGUACACUACUAUAGACCAGAGCCCUAUUCCCUAUAUAGUACACUACUAUAGACCAGAGCCUUAUUCCCUAUAUAGUGGUACUACUUUAGACCAGAGCCCUAUUCCCUAUAUAGUGGUACUACUUUAGACCAGAGCCUUAUUCCCUAUAUAGUGGUACUACUAUAGACCCUAUUCCCUAUAUAGUGGUACUACUAUAGACCCUAUUCCCUAUAUAGUGGUACUACUAUAGACCCUAUUCCCUAUAUAGUGGUACUACUAUAGACCCUAUUCCCUAUAUAGUGGUACUACUAUAGACCCUAUUCCCUAUAUAGUGGUACUACUAUAGACCCUAUUCCCUAUAUAUGGUACUACUAUAGACCCUAUUCCCUAUAUAGUGGUACUACUAUAGACCCUAUUCCCUAUAUAGUUGUACUACUAUAGACCCUAUUCCCUAGAUAGUGGUACUACUAUAGACCCUAUUCCCUAGAUAGUGGUACUACUAUAGACCCUAUUCCCUAUAUAGUGGUACUACUAUAGACCCUAUUCCCUAGAUAGUGCUCCUGGCCUGCUGGAUGCCUUUGAGAGUUUAAAAGGUCCAUUGCAGCCAUUUUGUUUUUUGUCUCAAUAUCAAAUCGUUUCUGGGUAACAUUUAAGUACCUCAUGGUGAUUGUUUUCAAUUAAAAUGUUCAAAAAUAAAUAAAUAAUUCUUAGCAAAGAGCAAUUUCUCAAGCAAGACUUUAGCUGGAGCUGUCUGGGAGGGGUCUCCGUGGGGAGAGAAAAGUGACAACUUUUAUUAGCUUUUUAUUAAAAAUGUUAUGUCCCUGAGUCCAACGUGAAGGAAGUUAGAGGUAGUUUUGUGAGCCGAUGCUAACUAGCAUUAGCGCAAUGUCUGUAAGUCUAUGAGUAUCUGCUAGCAUUCUAGUAGGUGUAAUAACUGGAAGUCUAUGGGUAUCUGCUAGAAUGUGAUCCAAUCCCCAUAGACUUCCAGUCAUUACACCUACUAGAAUGCUAGCUGUUCCCAUAGACGUCCAGUCAUUGCGCUAAUGCUAGUUAGCAACUUCUUUCAAACUGCACACAGACAUAUAAAAAAUGGUAUCCGCGAGACUCUGGGGAAAUAGAUAAUAUCCUGUAAGUGUCCCUUUAAAAAUGCCCCUUAUAGGCUUCAUAGUGUCUCUUAAACUCUGUAGGUUUAAGAGAAGAGGAUUCAGUGAGGGUGACAACAACACAAAGAUGUCUCAGGUCCCGUUAAAAAAAAAAAUCCUUCUGUUCUAAACAGCAGUAAAUGGCUUGUUGUUAUCCUUCACAGGGUGGUCGUUGAGAAAGUAGAGGUUCAUACAGGAAUCUGUCCAUGUUCAGAUCAGAGACGUUGUGAGACCAGAGACGUUAUGAGACCAGAGACGUUAUGAGACCAGAGACGUUAUGAGACCAGAGACGUUAUGAGACCAGAGACGUUAUGAGACCAGAGACGUUAUGAGAUCAGAGACGUUAUGAGACCAGAGACGUUAUGAGACCAGAGACGUUAUGAGACCAGAGACGUUAUGAGACCAGAGACGUUAUGAGACCAGAGACGUUAUGAGACCAGAGACGUUAUGAGACCAGAGACGUUAUGAGACCAGAGACGUUGUGAGACCAGAGACGUUGUGAGACCAGAGACGUUGUGAGACCAGAGACGUUGUGAGACCAGAGACGUUAUGAGAUCAGAGACGUUAUGAGAUCAGAGACGUUAUGAGACCAGAGACGUUAUGAGACCAGAGACGUUAUGAGACCAGAGACGUUAUGAGACCAGACACGUUAUGAGACCACAGACGUUAUGAGACCAGAGACGUCAUGAGACCAGAGACGUCAUGAGACCAGAGACGUUAUGAGACCAGAGACGUUAUGAGACCACAGACGUUAUGAGACCACAGGCGUUAUGAGACCAGAGACGUUAUGAGACCAGAGACGUUAUGAGACCAGAGACGUUAUGAGACCAGAGACGUUAUGAGACCAGAGACGUUGUGAGACCAGAGACGUUAUGAGACCAGAGACGUUGUGAGACCAGAGACGUUAUGAGACCAGAGACGUUAUGAGACCAGAGACGUUAUGAGACCAGAGACGUUAUGAGACCAGAGAUAGGCUGAGAGGUUAAUGAAAGAGCAGCAUUAAGUGGGAGGAAUUACAGAAACCCCC
ensembl:lncRNA